CUACGGGUGGCACCAGUGAGGAAUAUUGCACAAUGGGGGGAACCCUGAUGCAGCAACGCCGCGUGGAGGAUGACGCAUUUCGGUGUGUAAACUCCUUUUAUAUGUCAAGAAAAUGACGGUAGCAUAUGAAUAAGCACCGGCUAACUCCGUGCCAGCAGCCGCGGUAAUACGGAGGGUGCAAGCGUUACUCGGAAUCACUGGGCGUAAAGGACGCGUAGGCGGGUUGGAAAGUCAGGUGUGAAAUCCUACAGCUUAACUGCAGAACUGCACUUGAAACUUCUAAUCUAGAGUAUGGGAGGGGGAGGUGGAAUUAGUGGUGUAGGGGUAAAAUCCGUAGAUAUCACUAGGAAUACCUAAAGCGAAGGCGAUCUCCUGGAACAUUACUGACGCUAAGGCGUGAAAGCGUGGGGAGCAAACAGGAUUAGAUACCCUCGUAGUC
rnacentral:rRNA from 1 species